rnacentral:rRNA from 1 species
CCUACGGGAGGCAGCAGUAGGGAAUCUUCCGCAAUGGACGAAAGUCUGACGGAGCAACGCCGCGUGAGUGAGGACGGCCUUCGGGUUGUAAAACUCUGUUCUGCGGGAAGAACGGCAGCCGGGUGAACAGUCCAGUUGAGUGACGGUACCGCAGAAGAAAGCCCCGGCUAACUACGUGCCAGCAGCCGCGGUAAU